rnacentral:lncRNA from 1 species
CAGGUUGACAUCAGUGGAUACCUUGACAAUUUUGUAAUUGUCGUACGGAAGUAAUCUUAAAUUAUCUCCCCUUUCGCUAGGAGAACUUAAUUGGAUAACGUCCAAGGGACACUGUCCAUUUGUGCCUAGGUGUGUGCUGAAUCCACCGGCGCCAUCUAGGACUGGGAUAAGUUUAUACUCGAGGGUGGAUUUGACCUUGUUGCCAAUGAUAUCUAAGACAGGUUCAGAGUUUGAUGAGAUGCCCAAUAGAGGCUGCGUGGCCAAGGUAAGGAUAAGGAAGGAGAGUGUUGUUAUCAAUGAAGUCUUCAUUUUUUUGCCACUGGAAGGCUGGCUGCUGUUUGUUGUGUUGAUUCGUUGUUCAAGAGUUUGAAUUUAUAGAGAGCUAGAGCUUAGUAUGUGAUAAGUUCUUUGUGUUGGAUCAUUAAUCUAAUGUUGGGCUUAUAUGUGAAUAUUUAUGUGUUGUGGAUUUUCACAUAAGGUUAAACUCAAUUAAAAGUGAUCUAUUAAUAUUUUUAGUAAUUUGGACUUUAAUGCAUCUGAUAGUGUGGGCUUUUAAUAUAUACAGACCUAAGGGUAAUUUUUAUUUCUAUUAUGAGUUGAAAUAGGAAUACUUAAUGAUAACAAAAAAAAUUAUCUAUAUAAGUGGUUAUAGUCCCCAUGUCACAUGUAUCAUUCUAUUCUCUACUAGCAUUCCAUCAUCAGAGAGAGUGCAAUGAAAAAGUUAAAGGAUUCUCGACCUAGAAGGCUAAUCACACGACCCUAGAGAGUAAUUAAACAUUAUGUAUUCAGGUACGAUUUCGUAAAUUCAUUUAUUGAUUUUUGGUGAUACAACAUGAAUGUUCCUGGAAUUUUGGGGAUGAUUUUUUUACAAAAAGAUUUAAGGUUCUAACAAGUGGCAUCAAAACCUCUUCAUGUUGAAUUAUUGAAAAUCGAAUUUAUUUUCAAUUAGUAAUUGAAUCUUUAGUAUUUUCAAAUUUAAUAAUUUUGGUAUUAUUGAGUUUUAAAACAACUGUGGUUGUUUUUUAAGGAUUAAUAAAAACAAUUUGGGUUAAUUAACAAAAAGGAUUUGAGAUCAAGGCCGGCGGCAGUCACUUCCAUCCCCAGUAACACCCUCACAGGCCUCGGUAUUCCAGGCUGCGACGAGAAGGAAAUGUCGCGGUACACAUGAAAAGCGGCAACCAUGGCCAUCGCAUCAAGAAUCAAAAAAAGAAAAAAAAGAAAAGAAAUAGCCAACGAGCCACAGAAAGCAAAGCCGUGGCCACUAGGCUGUGGCGCAGUUGCAAUUUCUAAAUUCAAAAAUUGAUAUGUUUAUUAAUAAUUUGAGGUGGCCUAAUUGAAGCAGCAUGUCGCCAUAGUAACUUCUUUUGCGGAAAUUAAUUUGUUUAAUAACAUAACCGAUUAUGUGCAUCUAAUUUCUGGGAAUGUUAGUCUGCCUAAAAUAAAGUUUAUAUUUAACAAAAUCGCCUUUGCAUAUAUGGUAAUAAAUGCGUGAUAAUUAUUUAGUUUUACAUGUGAAUAAAAUUAUUUGGUUUUACAUGUGCAUAAUAAAUCAGCCAAAACAAUGAUUUAUUAGGGGAAAUUAAUUUGUUUUUUAAUAUAAACGGUUGUGUGUAUGUAAUUUUUUUGAAUAUCAAUCGACCUAAAGAAAGGUCCAUGUAUAACAGAGUCACAUGUGCAUUUAUGGUAAUAAACAUGUGAUAAUUAUUUAGUUUUCCAUGUGAAUAAUAAAUCGACCUAAAGGAAGAUUUAUUAUCUGACAUGUUCUUAUUAUCAAUGAUUGAUUACUACACCAAGAUAUCACUUACAUCUUAAUAUUUUGUCUAAAGACGAAGUACGAAUAGAGUGUCCGAUAUCGUGACAUGUGGUAUACCUUUAUUUCAAUUUAUAUAUUCUAUUUUAAGACUUAUAUGAGCUUGUUUUAUUUGUUUGUUGUUCUCUAUUCAGUUAUUACUCUUGCUAAUAUUACUGCAAACAUUAAUUCUAUUCUUAUGCUAAAUGGCUCUAAUUUAAAGUCAUGUCAAGAGAACCUCUUAAUAGUUCUUGCCAUUAUGGAUUUUAUCUUUGCGUUAAGAGCUAAUUCUCUCGUACCUCUUAAUAGUUCUCACAGUCAAAUCGCAUAUGUAUGAUUAUCACGAAGAAGGCCAUUCUGGAAGCGAUCAAGGGCUCAAUAUCUAAAAAGAUGAUUAUGACAUUGGAAAAUGGUUUGUGAAGAACGAAAAGGCUGAAAUAGGUAUGCUUUUGACAACUUCAAUUUCAACAAUGUAUAUGAGCAAAGGAAAGAAAAUAAAAAAAGAUAAGGAAACUGCAAAUAAAACAUAUCAAAAGAAACAACAAAAAACCUGACUAAUCUAAAAGGUACUAGUUGUUUACUCGACGAACUUGAAGGGCAUAAGAAAAAGCAUUGUGCCAAUUAUCAAGCAUGGUGUGCAAAGAAGGGUAUGCUUCUUAAUUUGGUUUGUUCUAAAAUUAAUUUAACUUCAGUACCUAGACACACAUGGUGGAUAGAUUCUAGUGCAAUAACUUACAUUAGUGUGUCUAGCCAGGGUUGCCUGAAUUGUCGAAACCCCAGUGAUGGUAAAAUAUACAUCUAUGUGUGCGAUGGCAAGACGGUUGGAGUGAAAGCAAUAGGAAAAUCUAUAUUAUUAUUAAAGACUGGAUUUUAUUUCAAUCGUGAAAGACAUUAUUCCGUAUUUUAGAUAGAAUUUGAUUUCCAUUUCUGCUUUGGACAAGUUUGGUUUAUCUUCUUUAUUAGGGAAUGAAAAAUUCAGUUUGUUUCAUGAAUCAAAAUUAGUUAGUUUUGAUUUUUUAUCAGCCUAUGAUUAUCUCUAUUUGAUUGAUCUGAUUGCUUUAUUUAAUGAAUCCCUGAAGUCGAGAACAAACUCAGCAAAAGAAUCAAAAGUAUUAGAUAUGACUUUGGUGAUGAGUACUAUGGCAGAUAUGACAGUUCAAAUGAAUAACAUUCAGGACCGUUUACUAAGGACGAAACAAGAGGCUUAAAGACAUGGGAAGGAGUACAAUUUCUCAUUCUAUUUUACUGGAAUUACUAUGGGGAGAAGUAUUUAAGACUACAGUAUAUAUCCUUAAUAGGGUUCCAACUACAACCACUACUAAAACCCAUUAUUGACUGUCAAUAGGUAAUAAGCCUAGUCUCAAGCAUUUGUAUGUUUAAGGAUAUCCAACUGAGGCAAGGCCUUAUAAACCUAAUGAAAAGAAACUAGAUUCAAGGACAAUAAGUUACUAGGCUAAAUGGUACAAGUCAAUUUUUUUAGUCAGGACAUACCUAAUUCUUUGAGGAUGUCGAGUUUGUAGCUGGAAAUAAAACUAGAAAUUUUUGUCUUUGAAAAGGAAUAUAUUAAUAUUCCCGUAGGUGUUUUUGGCAUUGACUAGGGCUUCAUUUGUGGCUUUGUUCAUGACACAACAAAUCUAAACAAUAUCGAAGAACCCUUGUACAUUUAUAGAGGAACAAACUCUACCACCUGAAGCACUUAUGUCAUUAAGGAGAUCCAUUAAAGAAAGAAAAAGUACAACGCCAAAUGACUAUAUUGUAUUUCUGUAAGAACAUGAAGUGGAUAUCGGGGUAAUGGAAGAUGAUCCAAUUAAUUUCUAUUAGGCCAUGCAAUGUUUUAACUCUCAAAAGUGGAUUGAUGCCAUGAAUAAAGAGAUGAAGUCCAUGAAGGACAAUGACAUAUGCGAUCUUGUCUCAUUGAUAGAAGGUACGAAACCUAUUGGUUGCAAAUGGAUAUUUAAGACUAAAAGGGAUUCAAAAGGCGUAUAAAAAGUUCCAAGGCAUGUCUUAUCGUAAACAACUUUAUAAAGAAAGAAGACAUUGAUUAUAAAGAGAAUUUCUCUCUAGUUUCUUCGGAAGACUUUUUCAAGAUCACAUUGGUAUUGGUAUUGCAUUUUAAUCUUGAGUUAUAUAAUGGAUAUGAAUACAAAACUUCUCAAUGGUGGCAUUGAUGAGAUAAUCUAAUGGUGUAGCCAAAAAAAUUUGUGCCAAGAGAUCUAAAGAAUAUAGUUUGCAGACUUAAAAAAUCUAUUUAUGGGCUCAAGAAAGCAUCUCGGCAAUGGUAUUUUAAAUUUCAUCAAGUGAUUAUCUUAAUUAGUUUUGAGAUGAAUCUAGUUGUUGAUUGCAUAUACCAUAAGUUCUGUAGGAGCAAGCAUAUAUUUUUGGUUUUAUAUAUAUGUCGAUGGCAUUUUGUUGUUAGCAAUGAUUUAAAGUUAUUGCAUGACACUAAGAGAUUUCUAUCUAAGAAUUUUAAGAUGAAAAAUUGUUGUACUUUUUCUAAUGCUAUUGGUGUUAAUAUGCAAGUUUACACAACAAGUAAUAUAAUGAUAAGUAUUCGAGAUCGUCUCCACAAGGAUUGAUGUUGUAUGAGUUGCUACAGCAAUCUUAACAGUACAAUUUUGUUCUAAACUAAAUUAAGACAAUUUAUGAAACUAAUGAAUCUAAUUAAAAUAAAAUGCUAAAAAAUAAAAAUGCAAUAAAUAAACUCUCACAUCAAACACAAGGAUAUAACCAAUGAGAAUGGAGUAGUUGAAUAAUUAAACUCACUUAAUGGUUUUUGAUUAUUUUUCUAACCGUCGCUUGUUGGAUAUCUUAUACCUUAAUGUAACUUAACAGUGACAAAUUGUUUUGCUAACAUAAGAUAUAUCAUUUCACAUUUAGAUUCUAUUUACCCUACAAGGUGAAUCCUUAUGCCUAGUUCAUCACUAAUUUUAGAUCAAGCAUGGCCUUUUUGGAUUCAAGUUAAACUCAACUCAGGAAACCCAAUCUAAAACUAAGUAUUGCUAUGAUAUGUUGCACUAAGAUAGGCCAUUUUGUGGCUCUUUCUUAGUUUAUACCAUUAGAUGGGUGGUCAGCCGAAAUAGUGAAUUAAAAUAAGUAUUAUCAAAACAACAUGCUAUAACAAACAUGCAGUAAUACAUAUAUUCAGUCAAUUAACCAUCAAGAUUGUUUAUCACUCAACCACAAAUAAAUUUAGUUCAUGAUUUGUAAGAGAGAAAUAAAUAAAAGACUUUCAACCAUCAAAUACAUCCCCAUGAUUAAAGAGUAAACAAGAAAACAAGAAAACAAGAAAAAAAAAAGGACUGAUUUCCCUAUUGAUCGCUGCAAUUUCUCCUCUGAUGUAGCCCUAAAUCUUGCUCUUGAAUUCUAUUUUUCUCUUGUUUCUUUUCGGUUUUUCUUUUUUGUUGAUGGCUCUCCUCUUUCUUUGUGUGUGUGUCUCUUUUAUAACUUAUAACUAGGGCAACCAGAAGUCUAGGGUGCCUAUCUUCUAGAUUUAAAAACUCCAUAUCACAAUCUUCUAAGUAUCUUGCACGAAAUUUUCUCUGUCAAUGUUUCAGGAUUGCUACAAAAUGGCUACAAUAUCUGCACUAUUCCAAACUUGCUCCAAUUCUUCUGUAGCCAUGCUUUUUCCUUAUUUUUGCAAACCUAUUGCAACAACAUUCCUCCCUUAAAAUUUGAGCUUCCAAUCACCUACAAUUAUGCACACAAUCUAAGCACACAAAUUAUUCUAAAAUAACAUAAUUUAUUAAAAAUAAACUAAAAUGCAAUAAAAACAUGACAUUUACUCUAUAAGUAAUAUUGAUUUAAAUCCAAAAGUGCCUUGAUAAAUCUCCUCUCAUAGAGAGUUAUCACACCCCCACACUUAAACCAUUACUUGUGCUCAAGUAAUGACAACAACAUUAACACUUCAAUCACACAAUCAUGCAACAAAUAACUUAGCUUUGUCAUUAAAUUUGAAAGGAUUCUUCAUCCCUCAGAUCAAGUGUUUAAUCAUGCUCAAUUGCCAUAGCAGUUCAGUUCUAAACUUAGGCCUUAUUUUGUCCAGAUUGUGUGUUUGCCACUUUGAUCAAGCCUAGAGGUGCUGCAACAUUACACGUACAUUAUAUAAUUUAGAGGUAGAACACAAAUAUAUUCACAUAUGGGGGACCAUAAGUCACAAAUAAACUUAAACUGUACUACAACAAAAUAAUUUUUUUUAAUUCUCUUUAAUGUUUCAUUGAUUUUUCAUGUGAAUGUCUAUCACUUGUGGUGAUGACACUCAAUUCCUCAACCAAUGCACAAAUCAGAGUUGUUGCAGCAAUGCUCAUAAUAUUAUUCUUAUCUACAGACACAUUUAACUCAAGGCUGAAUAUGGGGUUCAUGAAUAGACCUGACUACUCAAUAUCCUAGACAGAGGACCUUCUAUUUUUUUUAGGACUUAUAUGUGCUUGUAUUGUCUGUUUGUUACUCUUUGAUUUAGCUAUGACUCUUGUAAAUAUUACUACUAAUAUCAAUUCUAUUUCUAUGCUAAAUGACACUAACUUCAAGUCAUUACAAGAGAACAUCUUAAUCGUUCUCACAGUCAUGGAUCCUAACUUCGCAUUAAGGGUUGAUUACCCCCACUUUUUACGGAUAAGAGUACUUCUAAUGACAAAAAAGAUUUGGAAAGGUGGGAGAAAUCAAAUCUCAUGUGUAUAAUGAUUAUUAAGAAAGCCACUCUAGAAGCAUUCAGGGUCUUAAUGUCUAAAAAGAUAACUAUGACUAAGGAGUUUCUUGCGGACAUUGAAAAAGGGUUUGUUAAGAAUGAAAUGCAGAAAUAGGUACGCUCUUAACAAGUCUCAUUUCAAUGAGGUAUAUAAGUAGCGGUAAUAUCAGAUAGUACAUUAUAGAGAUGUCUCAUCUUACUUCUAAGUUGAGAGCACUUGAACUUGAACUCUUUAUGGACAUGUUAGUGCAUUUGGUUUUAAUAUCCUUACCAACACAUUUUAACUAGUUUUAAGGUAAGCUACAACUGGUAAAAAGAGACUUGGUCUCUAAAUGAGCUCAUAUCAAACUAUGUUUAGGAAGACAAAAAAUGCUCACUUGGCCUCUACCUUUACGGGCAAGUACAUGGGAAAAGAAAAAAAAAAGAAGGAUAAAGAAGCUACAGAUAAAGAACCUCAAAAGAGAUGACUAAAAAGAAAAAAAAAAGGAUAAUCUGGAAGGUAGUAAUUGUUUCUUUUGUAGAGUUGGAGGGCAUAAGAAGAAUCAUUAUACUAGCUAUCAUGCAUGGCCUGCUAAGAAAGGUGUACUCCUUAAUUUGAUUUGUUCUGAGGAUACAUUAACUUCAGUACCUAGAUACACAUGGUGGAUAGAUUCUAGUGAAACAACUCACACUAGGGUGUCUAUGCAAGGUUGCCUAAAUUGCCAAAAGCCUAGUAAUGGUGAAAGAUAUGUCAACGUGGCAAUGGCAAGACGAUUAAAGUUAAAGCAAUUAGAAAAUUUAUAUUACUAUUAAAGAUUAGAUUUAAUUUGGAUCUUGAUAAAACAUUUAUUGUUCUAUAUUAACUUGAUUUUUAUUCCUGUUUGGAAAAUAUAUUUAUUUUUCAUUUGGGAAUAGAAAAUUGAGUUUCUUUCAUAAUUCAAAAUUUUUUGGACCCAGUUCUUUGUCAGGUUAUGACAAUAUUUAUUUAGAUGAUACGACUGCUUUAUUUUAUGAAUCCUUAUAAUUAAGUACAUGAGGUAUAAAGAGAAAAUUACCAAUGAGAAUUUGGCUAUGUUAUGACGUAAGAGAUUAGGUCACAUUUUUAGACAGAGAAUAGGGAGACGUGUGUCAGAUUAACCCCUUAGAUUUACAAAUUUUGAUGUUUGUGCUAAUUGUACAAAGGGGAAAGAAACCAAUCAAAGGAGAUUUGAAGCCAACAUGACUUUAGAAGUCAAAGAACCUAUACAUACAAAUAUUUGUGGGCCAUUUACGUAGCAGCUUAAAAUGGGUAACAAUGUUUUAUGACGUUCACCCUCUAUAAAAAAUCACAGUCAUUGGAUAUGUUAAAAAAUUUUAAGGUUAGUUGAAAACCAACUCUGCAAAAGAAUAAAAAAAGUGUCAGAUCUCACUAUGGUAGAUAUAAUAGUUUCAGGGAACAACAUUCAGGAUAAUUUACUAAAUUCCUAGAGGAAUACAGUAUCGUCCCACAAUACACCAUGUUGGGUUUGCCAACUAUGAAUGGUGUUGUUGAAAGAUGAAAUAAGAUGUUUGCAAUAAGUUUCCAACUAAAGUGACUACCAAAAUAACCUUAGUGACUACUAAAGUGACUACCAACUAAGGCAUGGCUUUAUAGGCCUAAUAAAAAUAAACUAGACUCAAGGACGGUGAGUUGUUAUUUUAUUGAAUACUUUGAACAAACUAGGGGGUACAAGUUUUAUGAUCCCACGACUAAGCCAGUAUUCAAGUCAUAAAAUACUUGGUUUUUUGAAGAUGUAGCGUUCACGGGGGAGAUACAGCUAGAAACUUUGUCUUUCAAGAAAAAUAUGUUGAUAUUCCUACCAUUGUUAUUGGUAUUGAUCAAGAUCUCAUUCUUGACCUUGUUAAAGGCACAACAGAUUAAAACGAUGUUGAAGAGCCCUUAUACAAGAAAUUUUUCUAGAAUAACAAUCUCUACUACUUCAAUAACCUAUGCCAUUAAGUUCACUAGAGAAACUAGAAGUAUAAUGUCAAAUGACUACAUUGCAUUUCUUCAAGAUUAUGAAGUGGACAUUGAAGUGAUGGAAGAUGAUCAAAUCAAUUUCCAUCAAGCAAUGCAAAGUUCUAACUCCCAAAAGUCGUUUGUUGCCAUGAAUGAAGAGAUGAAAUCUAUGAAAGACAAUGACAUGAUAAAUUUUCUCAUUGCUAGGAGAUGGAAAACCCAUUGGUUGCAAAUGGAUAUAAAGAGACUUUCUCUCUAGUUUCCUUGAAAGACUAUUUUAGGAUCAUAAUAACAUUGGUGGCGCAUUUCAAUCUUGAGUUACAUCAUAUGGAUGUGAAUACAACGUUUCUCAUGGUGACAUUAAUGAGAUGAUAUAUAUGGUAUAGUGAAAAUACUUUUUGUCCAGAGACCUAAAGAAUAUGUUUGCAAACUUGAAAAAUCCAUCCAUAGACUCAAGCAAGCAUCUCGACAAUGGUAUUUCAAGUUUUAUCAAGUGAUCAUCUCUUUCAAUUUUGAGAUGAAUUUGGUCGAUGAUUUUAGUGGAUGCCAAGAUAGUAUGAAAUCUACUUCGUGUAAUAUUUAUCUACUAGCUGAAGGUGUUGUCUCUUAGAAGAGUACUAAACACUCUAUUAUAGCGUCUUCUAUGAUGGCAGCACAUAUUAUAGUAUAUUAUGAGGCAACCAAUCAUAAAAUAUGGAUGCUAAAUUUUGUCAUGGGCUUGUGCAUAGUAGAUGGUAUUGAUAAACUACUCAAGUUAUUUUGUAACAAUAAAUCAGCAGUGUUGUAUUCUAAUAACAAUAGGAAUUCGACGAAGUCAAAGCAUGUAGAGAUUAAAUUCCUAGUUGUUAAAGAGUUCAAAGUGGACAAUUUUCUAUAGAGUACAUCGGCAUAAACUCCAUGAUUGUGAAUCCACUUACUAAGGGAUUACCACCUAAAAUGUUUUAUCAUCAUGUUGCUCAUUUAAGUGUCAUGUUAUUAAAGGAUAUUCAAUUUUAGUAGGUGUUUAUGGUUUUAGACGCUCUUAUGAUAUGCAUAAUUUUCAAUUAUUUGAGGUUAUUUUCUGCAGAAAUAAAGUUUUGCUUUAUUCAGACUUUGAUUUCGGUAUGAUUUGAUCUCAUUAAGGUUUAAGGUGGACUAAUUAGAAAUAGUUAUGUUAAAAUUAUAUUGCAUGAAAUUUCCAUACUAAACAUCCACAUCAUGAUCCAUGUCAUUCAAUUAUAUUGGCAUAAUGAAUAUUGAUGGGUUAAUUUAUGACAACUGCGACAAAGGCCACUUUGACCCUAUGUUAGUACGAUUAAUGGAAUAGAUUGGUUACACAUACAUUUCGGUAAUGAUAGUAAAGUUGAGUUUAUACAGUUAUUUUUGCCAAGCAUGGUUAUAAGGUUCACAUAUAGCCCAAGUAGCAGACUGUUGAAUCCUUAGUCCAACAUUGGCUUUAUAUAUGAAUAAAUAUAUGUUACAAAUUAUCUUAUAAGGUUAAGCCUAAUUAAAAGUAAUCCAUUAAGGUUUUUGGUAAUUUGGGUUUUAAUGUAUAUGAUAGGGUGUAGACCCUUAAUGCGUAGAGAUUUAAGGUUAAUUUCUAUUCCUAUGAUUUGUUGAAAUAGGAAUGCCUAUUGAAAUCUGGAAAGUAUAAAUAUUUAUGGUCCUUAGGUCACACGUAACAUUCUAUUCUCUUCUGACAUCUCAUCAUCAAAGAGGGUGUAGGGAGAAAGUUCAAGGAUUCUCUAAGAUAACAUGUUGAUCUAGAAGACUAACCACACAAAUCUAGAGAGUAAUUAAGCAUUAUGGAUUCAAGUGCGCUUCUGCAUAUUCGACAGGUAUUGCAUAUGACUAGCGAUUAUCAAUAGCAUGAGGCUGAUGAUCUACAUUGGUGCAAGGCCCUACUGCAUUUAACGAGAUCUACAUGUGAUGGUGAUGCGCGACUAUUAGCUUUGCAUAUGAUAGUGAUAGUGAUGGGAUCAAUCAUGGCUCUGCGUGCGAUGGUGAUCAAAUCGAACAUGGAUGCUACGUUCAAUGACCCGUGCUGGAUCAUUUUUUUAAUUGAGGGCAAAAUGGGGUUUACAAAUUUUUUGGGGGGCAAAAUUGGAACUCCUAGGAAUCCGCAUUCCCCAUAUCCAAAUUGGGGUGGGCCUUACGAUUCCAUUUUCGAUUCCUACUCUUAUUUUUUAAAGUAAACAUUGUCAAUGAUUCCGGUUCUAGAUUCUGAUUUCCCAAUCUGGGAAGUAAACACUCCCUGAAUGUAAAAUAAAACAUCAAUUAAGUAAAUGAAACAUAGGACUUAUAAAUAGAAAAUAAACAACAAAUUGACAUAAAAGUGGUAAAUUGGAUAUUGGCAAAAAGAACAAAAGCUUAUGAAUAUAAAAUAAAACUUAUAAAUAAAUAUUAAGUGUAAAAUAAAACAUAAAUUAUGUGAAUAAAACAUAAGACUUGUUAAUAGAAGGUGAAACAAGUAAAUUAAUAUAAUAAUUAAUAAAAAAUAAAACUUACAAUUGUAAAAUAAGAACUCAUUAUAAUAAUGAUUACCUUAGAUAUUUGUUUAUUUUGCUUCUAAAUUGAAUAAUAAAAGUUAUGAGUUUUUAUAAUAUAUGUGGUGAUAUAUGUAAAAUUUUAUUAGGAUAAAACUUAUUCUCAAAAUUAGAUGUUGAAAAAAAUAAACUUUUUAUAUUUUUCAAAGCUAUUUGUAUCCUUCUAAAUCUCCUUGAUGGCAACCCCAAAUGAUUUUUUAGUACAUGUAAGAAGUAAAGUUUAAAACUACAUGAAGUAUGUGUAAAAUAGAAGAUUAUAUCUAAUUUUAUUUAUAUAUUAUAUAGGUCCAGUAAUUUAAGAAUAUUCUUUUAUUUUGUUUUGGCUUGACCCAUAUUAAGAAAAAUAAUUUUGUUUAAUUUACCUGUGUAGUAAACAAUACUAUCAUUAAAAAAAAAUUAUGAAUGUCAUAGAAUGAGUAUAAAAUUUGUGGUUAAACCAAUUCAAUAAAACUUAUUCCAAUUGUUUACAAUACAAUUAUUUUUUUUAAUCGAUGAGUGUAAACUAUUUUCUUAAAAUGAAAGUUUAAUAUUGAUUUACAGUUUUAUUUUAUUUUUAUAAUUUUUUUAAUAAUGCUAAAACAUAUAGGUGAACAUUCAAUGAACAUUGACUAAUAUGCAAGAUUUAAGAUAUUUUGAUUAUUUAAGAUAUUUAGAUUAAGAAACAAGUGUGAUAAAGACAAGUCACAAUAGAAAAGAAUAGAAUAUUUCAUGUAAUUUACUUUUUAUUCAGAGUUUGGUCUUCUUUGGCAAUACCCUUAAAAACAAUUAUUCAUUUCCUCUUUAAGAGGGCUCGGUUUGUUGCUGCUUGUUUUAUUAAGAAUUUCUUUCCUUCCCUUGGAUUAGUACUAGAACUUGCAUUAGUAUUAGAACAUGUUCCUCAAAAGACUGGCAUGAAACGAAAUUCUUUCAAAUUCAAACUACUAAUCUAUGUUAGCCAAAUUAGAAACUAGAAAAGAAGAUACUUUGAAUCUUAAUCUUAAAAGUAUCAGAUGAACAGUGUUGGAUGGUUGGUGCUGGAUGAAUAAUAUCAUAAAGAGUAUUGGAUGAACAAUACUAGUUAAUAGUAACCUGAACAGUACCACCAACAAUUAUUCGUGUUUUGGACUUUCAAAGAACCAAUAUUGACUCAUAAUUUGAACAACCUCAGUCGGCUUAAUAGAUAAAGGCUAACUCUGAUGGCAUGUGUCGUCGGAAUCCAGGUAUGGCUGUUUGUUGUGGGAUCCUUUGUAGUAGUCAUGGGGGUAUGUUAGGCUUCUUUUUUUCUUUGUGCCUUUUAAGGAUACAAUCCGCUUCUUAUGUCGAGAUCAUGGUUGUUAUUUUAAUCGUUCAGCUUGUUUAUGAGAGAGGAUGAUUGAAUCUCUAGAUCGAAAGUGAUUGCUUACAAUUGUUAAUCUCCGUAAUGGCCAUCUUCUUUCCCCUAGGACUUUGCUUAAUCAUUAGAAAAUUUAUUUACUAUUAAUAGAGUAAAGGAGGGGACUGCCAUUCUCACAUUGGAAAUAAUUGUACAUAGGCCGUCUUCUUCCUCAUUAAAUGCGAGUGAAGCAGAAAUUUCUUGAAAAUUAGUGAGGUAGAAAAUUUAUAUUGUAUUUUAUAGGGUUAAUGUCGAUUAGUCCUAAUAGUUGUAUGGUUGUAAUAUCAAUAUUAAAAAAAAUUAAGGCUUGCCUUACUCAUAUUUUUAGAGAGGGAAACGAUGUAGCAGACAAGUUGGCCAAUUUUGAUGUUUGUACUUCUUCUUUUAUUUGGUGGUCGAAACCUAAAGUUUUGCCUUUACUCCUUAAAACUCACAUUAUCUCCCUAUUUAUUGAUUCAAGUGGUAAUUGAUGCAAUUACAUCUUUGCAAGCAUUUUCCUCUAUAUUUUUACUUAUAUAUAUAUUCAUGUAUUUUAUUGAAUUUUUGUAUUAGCUUCUUUUGAGGUAAGGCUCAUUAUAUCCCUUUUUAGGUGUAAUGAUAGAAUGGGGCAAUGGAAGUGAAUUGAUAGGGUAAUUAUAGUACCGAACCAAGCCAAUGCAAUUAGCCUAUGCUUUAAUUGAAACAUGAUUAGAUCUUGUUCUAAUCCAAAUGACUCAAUAAGAUUUUUAACAAUGCUUUAGGUGAGAUUAGAUAAUGCUCUAAUUCAAAAGACUCUACAAGAGAGAUUCAUUAUAGAUAAUCCCAAAGAAAAUUAUAAAGAGGGAUAUUUUUAUUAAUAAAAAAAUUAUGAAAAUGAUAACGGGAUUUCCUUAUUUAUAAUAGUGUAAACCUACUUCCUUAAGUUAACUUAAAAAGGAAACUAAAUCACAAUUAUAAUAGAAGUAAAACACUAAAACACUUACCAUAAUUGACUCUAAUUAAAAUAAAAUAUAUCAAAAAGAACUUGAAGGGGAGCAUCACUUCAUCUUAGAGCUUGAACUCAGUAGCCUCGCUAAUCAGCUAUGUUAAAACUCAAAAUUCUCCAUUUUUAUAUUUUUCUUGUGCUUAUGAGUAACCCUUUCAAAAGAUGAAGUCCUAUCCGAACAAAUCACUUUAAGCCUUUUAAGACUUUCCCAAAUCUCGCUUAAUGUUCCCACCAACUAACUUUAUCUUUGCAACCAAAUCUUCUUCAAAAUAACCUUAUUUCUUCAACGUGGAUAGGCAUAAUCAUGUCAAUGAUUGCUAGAGCCUCUUCAACUUGAUUUUGUUGCACAGACUCGAUCUUCUUGUUAGGCUUAAUUUGCAAAUUAACAGUAAGUUGUACUUCUUUGUUAGAAGUUUUAGACAAAUCAACAAUAUUAUCAUCUUCUACUUUCACCGAUGUAAAAAGAAAUGGUUCGACAUUAUCUAAAUGAACAAAAUGGUCUUCUAUCAAUUGUCUUGUAUCAAACUAUUCUUUGAUUUCAUCUAGUCCAUGUCGAAUCCUUGAUUCUUGCAAUUGUUCCCACCAAUCAAGCACAGGGGCGGAUGCAGCACAUGACCAGUAGGGGCUCAAGCCCCCACUGGCAAAAAAAAAAUAAAUUUAAAAAUAAAAGAAAAAAAUAUUUUAAUUUUUUAAAUAGCCCCCAAUAAAUUUAUUAAAAUAAUCACUAUAAAAUAUGAACUCCCAUAAAAUUUAAACUUUGACUUUUAAGAAAUAUAAAAACUUAUAUUUUAAUUAAAAAUAAUGAUAGCCCACCACCCAAAAUAUUUUUUAUUUUAAAAAAUAUGGUUAAUUCUUCCAAUUUAUAUAAUAAUUAUAGAACGAACAUUUUUAGUAAUAAAACUCAUGAAAAAUCAUUUUUGGAAUCAGAUGUGAUAAGUAAUAGUUUGAUUGUUUAUAUGGGAAACAAUAAAUUUAAUAAUAUUGAUAAUGAGUCUAUUGCAUAACAUUUUUAAAAUAAAAAAAUGCGUAGAGAUUAAUUAUAAAUGUAUUAGUAAAUAUUUUAUAUAUUCAAAAUUUUAAUUUUUUUAUAUUUACUAUUAUCUAAUUUAGCUCCCGAUAAAUUAUUUUUCUAGAUCCGCCACUGAUCAAGCAUCACCUGUCAACUUAAAUGAUGCAUAAGAGAUAACAACAUUCAAAGAGAUAUUUUGAAGAAAAUCGUCCAUUGUCCAUAUCCAGUCAAAAAUAUCAUCAAAAUUACCAAUAAAAUUUAGGAUAACUUCAAAUUCGAGGAGACAAUAUGAACUUUGAUAAUCCAUCUUUAUCAUUUUUUCCUUAAAUUAAAAAUAUAAACAAUGGCAAAAUUGUAAGUAAGGCUUAACUCUCGUGUUUGGUAUUGCCCGCGGUUGGUGGUCGUGAUUGGGACCGGAGGGUGUUGGAUCUGCAAGAUAUGGUGGCUGGGAGCAUGCUGAUGUCACUGGUGACAAUCAACUCGCGGUGGCAGAGGUGUAUCAAAAUGCUAAAUUUGUGCUACAAGUUUGGUUCGGUUGCAACAAUUCUGGCUACUAAUCAAACCAAGUGGUAAAUGGGAUUUGAUUAGCGAGACUUACUAAUUUUGGUGGUGACUUGGUUCAACAGUGGUAAAGUUGAAAAUGGCGGGGGGUGAGUGGUGGAGCUUGCAAGUUUUGGUUGUUCACACAGUUGCUACACGACUGAUCAAAGGCAGAGGUUGGUCAGGUUUGGUUGUUGGUUGAUAUUGAUUCUGGUGGAGGGUUGAACGACAGCAGAGCCCAAAGGAAUGGUUGCUGAGCUGGCAGCAGCAGUGGCUAGGUUUGAUUUGGGGAAUUUUCUGAUUUUUUUUCUUAUUUUUUCAGUGGUGGAUUCAAAGGGAUGGAUGUGGGUUGCCUGGAAAGAUGUCCAAUUAGCACAGAAUUGGCCUGAUACCCACUGACUGAGUGGAGUACUGGUAGUGAAUUGAUAGUGCAGGAAACGCUAAAUAUCAUUCUUGCACCGAACCAAAUCAAACGUCAUUAGUUUACGCUCUAAUUGAAGCGUGAUUAGAUAUCGUUCUAAUUCAAACGAAUAAAUGAUAUUUUUAGCAACGCUUUAAGUAAGAUUAGAUGAUGCUCUAAUUUAAAUGACUCUAUAAGAGAGAUUUUUUUAUAGAUAACCCCAAAAGAAAUUAUUAAAGUGGAGUUUUUUUUAUUAAACAAAAUGUUAUGAAAAUAAUAACAAGAUCUCCAUAUUUAUAAUAGAGUAAAUCUACUUCCCUAAGUUAACUUGAAAGAAAACUAAAUUAAAAUUAUAAUAGAAAUAAAAGAUUAAAAUACAUAAUAUAAUUUACUCUAAUUAAAAUAAAAAAUAUUAAAAAAAUCUAAAAUAAUAAAAUUCUGAAAUCCUAAAAUAACUUCCUACAGCACGUAAUUUUUCUUUUUAUAAUUAAUAAAUUUUGCUCAAACCAUCGAGGUUUGUCUUAAUAAAAAUGUUUUUUAGAGUAUAAAUAACUUUACCGUUACUUAGAAUAAAAAUUCUCGGAGCAACCGAACUUUUUUUAAAGCGGAAAUUGGGAAUUGUUUUCCUUCUUUUCUCGAUUUUUUCCCCAUCUUUCAUAAAUUGGCCCACAAUUUGAAUUACAAGGACCAUAUUUUUUCCUUGACAACCAUUUUUCUUUAUACCCAAGGACCUCUAGAGUAUGCAACUUUUAUGGGGGUGCAAUUCAUGUCGCAGAUUGAACCAAGUCUUCUAGUAACUAUUAGGAAAUAUAUCUUAUUUUUUAAUAAAAAUUUCAUAGGAUAUUUUCCCCUUUAGUGAGAUUCUUAUUUAAGAAAUAAAUAAUUUUUCUUUCGAAACUUCACUUAUUUAUGGAGGAACAAAACUACUACAAGAAAAAGAAUACUUCUCCUUCAAGAAGUAAUCAUUAUAUAUAAGGAAUUUAGGAUCAUUUAUUUGUGUAACACAACCAUCAAUUUUCUGUAAGUAGAUAGUUUCUAACUCAAAUGGUAGGUCUAUUGUGAGAUUGAGUAUCAUUAAAACUUUGGGUGUGAGAAAAAUGCUUGAGUGAUUGCAAUAAUUUUUUACAUAUUAAAUUUUUUUAUGUAAAUUUUUCUGUUGAGUGAUUAAUUUUACUCUAUCUAUUUUUUUAUUAUUAUUUAUUUAAUAUUUUUUCUUACAAGAUCUUGGAUGGAAUUAAAAUUCGCUAGAGAUAACUACUGAGAAUAAGACAAUGAAUUUGUACAAUGUGAUUUCAGAAAUUAUUUUUCACGUUGAUACAUUCAAAUGCGAUGUUAAUUGCGAGAAAUGGCCAACACAAUAAUUUUUCUUUUUUGUUUUGAUUUGUUUUAUUUUUCUCCCUUCACAUAACAGCCACUCAAGUCUAUUCCAAAAGUUUCCCCGUAUAAAACAAAAAAGCCAAUAAUGCAAGAUGACAAUUCGUACGUAAUGAUAGAUUGAUAGAUCAGUGUGGCUCCCCGUGAAAAGGAGAUAAUGCUAGAAAAUAUUUUUCACGUUUAUACAAUCACAUGCGAUGUUAAUUGCGAGAAAUGGCCAACACAAUAAUUUUUCUUUUUUGUUUUGAUUUGUUUUAUUUUUCUCCCUUCACAUAACAGCCACUCAAGUCUAUUCCAAAAGUUUCCCCGUAUAAAACAAAAAAGCCAAUAAUGCAAGAUGACAAUUCGUACGUAAUGAUAGAUUGAUAGAUCAGUGUGGCUCCCCGUGAAAAGGAGAUAAUGCUAGCUGUCAGAUGAUUGUGUUUGUGUUUUCUGAAUGCUAAAGGCGCCAUCGGACUCUGUGGUGUAGAUUCACUGAGCUAUUUCAUCAUGCUUUUCUUAUUUCUGUUAUUUACAUUUAAUACGAGAAUUGAUUUGGGUGAGAGCGACUUUAGAGAAUUAUUUGUUUCUAUGAUGGUCCCACACCCAAAAUAUACGCAUCAGCAGUUCAACGUAGAAAUGAUAUUAGCUAAACAAUAUCGGCGGGGGUUGCUAGCCUUUGCAAGAAAGAAUCUCUCUACACGUUACCUAACAGGCUAGAAUAGGGACAGAAUUUUCUUAAUUACAAUCGACUGGGUGUAUUGUGGCGAAUUUUUUGAGUAAUAUAUCUUGAAGUAUCCUUGAAUAUUCCUUGUUAACACCAUUUCGAACACAACUUUGCAAUAAUCCUUACCCGGAAGUCAUGCAUGCUUGAAGUAAUUUGUCCCUCAAAAAUGAAUGUUGUUUUGUCAAAGCAUGCAUGGAUCGUGCUCCUUAAUAAAACUAUAAUGAUAUUACAGUUUUCCACUUUACAAUUUAUCAUGAAUAACAAUAGUUAUUGUUCAAAAUCAUUAAAAUCAACUCUUUGAUUACUGUUAUGAUUAGGCAGCUAUACAUAAAAGGCUACUACAGUAAAAUAUUUGGUAAUCAAUUGUUACUGUGGUGUGGAAACUAAAUUGAUGUUAUACUACACUUGUAUCAUGAAAAAUCUAUAAUAUUUUUUAUAUUUUUGUUAAACUUAUUGUUCAAAAUUAUAUUUAUUACACAUUAUUGACUCUUAUUUCACAACAAUUACAACACUUUAAUAACAAAGGAAGCCUAAAUUUCUAAUAAUUAGAGAAUGUAUGCAAUACCUAUCAGAUAAACUAAAAGACAAUGUAAUAAAAGAAAAAUUGCGAAGGGCUGUGUUUCGGCAAGUUGUUUGUAAGAAGUUCCCAAAGCUGCCAAGUCUAAGAUCUUAGUGGUCUUGUGAGGGCAUGGUUGAUAAACUACUAUUGUAGUUUUCUUCAGGAAGUCCUGUAGCUGUGAGGCUUAUCAUACAACGAAGACCGUGGAUAUUUCCACUAUUUGGGUAGAAGAUAAUAAGCCUAAUGAAUUAACUACGAAGGUAGCCAAUAGUCUAAUAAAUUAAUUAGAGAAUGCAUUUUUCAUGUAAUAAAUGACAUAGUUAUUAUUUACAUCCUUACUAGAUUUUUAAUUACCUUAUUCAUCGGUCCCGUUUAAGAGAUAACACAUAAAGUCAGCAUUUUUUUGUACAUUUACCAUUCACCUUUCUUUAGAAGAUUUUAUGACAUUUCUAAGUAGUUCAGUGCCAAAAUUAAAGAGAAAAUGAAAAUGAUUAGUCUUAUAUAAUUAAUAAAAGAACGCUCGCAAUUUUUUAUUUUUUGCUAAUCCCAAUGACUUAUGUAAUAUUUUAAUUUAAAAUUUUAAAUAUUACACACCUUGAGUUACUGUUUGCCCUUAUUUUAUAAUUAAUUUUGUUAUCUCUUAACGAAAGAGAUAAAACAUAUAAGUAAAAAUCUACUAGGAAUAUAUAAGUGGCAAAUGUUACAUCUUAUCAUUGAUGAAACAUGUAUUCUCUGUAAAUUAAUUAGCAAGAAUUUAUUCAAUAUUAUUUGCAUUAAAUGGACAUGUGUUGCAUAUUUUUGUUGAUUGUCUUGAUGUAUGUUGCUUUGGAUAUGAUAUCCUCGAAGUAUGUGGUAUAGAUAUAUAUUUUGAAAUUAAUAAUUGGUAAAGGCUUUUUAUUUUUUUACUUUUUAAAUCAGAGUGGUAAAGAUUUGAAUAGCCGUGUGUCACUAAUAUUAGUGUUUUAUAUGGCCCUAUUUUUGGCUUGCCUUUGUUUCAAUGGAUACGAUACAUAAUAAUACUUGCUGAUCAUGCUCAUUGUGGUGAUUUUAUGGCAAUGUAUUUGUCUUUCUUCUUAUUUUAAAUAUGUAUACAAAACAUUUAUAAAGCAUUGACAACAUGCAUGCAUGGAGUCUAUAUAACAAUACUUUUAAAAAAUGUACACAUAAUUAGGGUAGAGAUUAACUAACAGCGAAAGCAUCAUAGGCUAUUUUAUUUAUGCUUAACCAUAGAGAUUAAAGAGUACUAGCCUGGUCCAUUAUUUAGAAUAAUACAGCCUGUUGGCUUAUUCAUUACAGAGACGGAAAUAACAUAGAUCUUCCACUAUCAGCUGGAAAUAACACAACAGGCAAAGGCAGAUUUGGCUGAUCAUUAUCAUCAACCACAACUAGACGUUGGACGCCAUCCACAUUAGAAACGCCAACGUCUUUGCAGAGUGUAUCGCAAGAACCAUUAACAAGUGUUGAACAAUGAACAAUUUUGUAUAGACAGGGAAUGUCUAGUGCUAUUUUCAUAUCAAAUAUUGAUGCACUAACUUUCUCAAGUUUAAAAAAAUUUUGACACGUUUUACCUUCACCGAUUGUUAUAAACUGCUUUCCUAAUGAAGCGUUAUCGUUGUCAACUUUCCACAACGAAUCUUUGUUACACUGCUGAAGAGAAGAAACUCUUGAGAAUUUCAAUUUAAUAUUAGUGGAUUCCCGGACAAUUGUGGAAUUGUCAUACGGAAGUAAACCUAAAUUCUUUCCCCUUUUGUCCUUAGGACUUAAUUGGAUAACAUCCGUUGGACACUGUCCAUUUUUGCCUUUGUCCGCGCUAAUUCCACCGCCGGUUUUAACUCCCCAGAGUGCUGAGACAAGAUAAUACCUGUGGCUGGAGUCCACCUGGUUGCCAUAGACAUCUAAGAUAGGUUCAGAUUCUGAGGCGCCCAACUGAGGUUUUGUGGCCAAAGCAAGUAUAAGGAAGGAGAGUGUUGUUACUAAUGAAGUCUUCAUUUGUUUUUUUUUUUUUUUUGAGGAUAGCUGCUGUUUGUUUUGUGAUCAAUUCGGUAUUCCAGUGUUUGAAUUUAUAGAGAGCUAGAUUUAAUAGCUGAUAAGGUCUUUGUGGUAGCUGCUUGGAUGGUCAUGUAUUAUUGAGUCUUCCUUUUUUUCAUUUUCGUAAAUUUGUCAAUUUUUGGUCAUAUGGAAAUAUAGUAUGGGUGACACAUACAUAAG